AGAUGACCUCCUCUUCACUGUUCUCUUUGAUGUUUCUAAAAUCCAACUUGGAGAAACUGUUCACUUGAUAUUUCAGCUAAAUCCAAAGACGCGGGAGAUCCUAGAGGUGGAGUUUGCAUCGGAGAGCAUUCCAGUCCCUCCUGAAAAGCUUGUGACUAAUGGUGUAUUAGUGGUAAUUUUAAACUAUUGCUCUUCUAUCUUUGUUUUCAUGAUAGUGAUAGGAUU
rnacentral:lncRNA from 12 species